GACGAACGCUGGCGGCGUGCUUAACACAUGCAAGUCGAACGGAAAGGCCCUGCUUUUGUGGGGUGCUCGAGUGGCGAACGGGUGAGUAACACAUGAGUAUCCUGCCCUUGUCUGUGUGAUAACUUUAGGAAACUGGGGCUAAUACCGGAUAGGAGCUCCUGCUGCAUGGGGGUGGUUGGAAAGUUUCGGCGGUGGGGGAUGGUCUCGCGGCUUAUGCGCUUGUUGGUGGGGUAGUGACUUACCAAGCCUUUGACGGGUAGCCGGCCUGGGAGCGUGACCGGCCACAUUGCGACUGCGAUACGGCGCAGAAUCCUACGGGAGGCAGUAGUGGAGAAUAUGACACAGUGGCCGGAAGCCUGAUGCAGCAACGCCGCGUGCGGGAUACCGGCCUACGGGUUGUGAACCGCUGUCGCCUGUGACGAAGCGUGAGUGACGGUAAUGGGUAAGGAAGCACCGGCUAACUACGUG
rnacentral:rRNA from 1 species